GAUGAACGCUGGCGGCGUGCUUAACACAUGCAAGUCGAACGGAAAGGCUCCUGCUUGCAGGGGUACUCGAGUGGCGAACGGGUGAGUAACACGUGGGUGAUCUGCCCUGCACUUCGGGAUAAGCCUGGGAAACUGGGUCUAAUACCGGAUAGGACGAUGGUUUGGAUGCCAUUGUGGAAAGUUUUUUCGGUGUGGGAUGAGCUCGCGGCCUAUCAGCUUGUUGGUGGGGUAAUGGCCUACCAAGGCGUCGACGGGUAGCCGGCCUGAGAGGGUGUACGGCCACAUUGGGACUGAGAUACGGCCCAGACCCCUACGGGAGGCAGCAGUGGGGAAUAUUGCACAAUGGGCGCAAGCCUGAUGCAGCGACGCCGCGUGGGGGAUGACGGCCUUCGGGUUGUAAACUCCUUUCGCUAGGGACGAAGCGCAAGUGACGGUACCUGGAGAAGAAGCACCGGCUAACUACGUG
rnacentral:rRNA from 1 species